UCUCAUUCUAUUGCUGCGAUCAAAAUAAUCUUGAGAGAGAGAGAGAGAGAAAUAGCGUGUGUUUGUUUGCUUUGUGCGAAGAGAUGGAAAGAUCGAUUGUUGCUGCAAUCACGAACAAUUUGAGGAUCUUACAGCCCAGGGUUGCGAUCGUCUAGCCCGUGUAGAGAUAGGAAGGGAUUGGUACAAUAGGAAGGGAUCAUCGCCAUUGUUGAAGAUCCACCUUCCAGGAGCAUUGACUUUUGAGGCUUCAAGAAGAACUACAAGUACCUUUUGACGAGACUCACCCUUGAAGGUAUCUUUCGGAGAUUAUUGUUCAAGCAAGGUGGGAGUCGAGCAACUUGGGAAUACCCAUUUGCUGUUGCUGGCAUAAACAUAUCAUUUAUGUUGAUUCAAUUGCUGGAUCUUUGGUCAGGUUAAAAUUUUAUUGACAUCAUGUUACCCUGCAGCAAGACCAAGGUGUCUUCCUGGGAUAAAUUUCUUGCACUUAUUAGGAGAAGAUGAAGCUGCUUCUGAUGUACUGUUCCAUAUAGCUUUUGACAUGGUCUAUGCUCAGUGGCUUGCUAUGAAUGCAUCAUGCAUGCAGUUUAAUGAGCUCUCCAGAUGACCAACUCAUAGGGCUUUCAAUUCCUUCAAGAUGUUCUGCAAGCAAUGCGGACGUAGUUGGUAAGAGAACCAUCUUUAGAAGAUAUCAAGAGUAUCUAAGAUUUACCAGCUUAUAGUCUGUUGUACCAGUAGCUUUUUGGUAGUACAGAAAAACAUUAGCACUGUGCUUGGACUCGGAGAAAUUUCAAUGAAUUCAAAGGGUUACCAUGACAACAACGCUUUGCAUAAAACAAUGGGACAUCUUUUUCAUGGCCUCAUUUCCGCUUUGAUAUCCGCUAUGAUUUUAUCUGAGUUGUUCCCAUUGGAUUCAAUUUGGUAUUUUAACAUUUGCCAUUGGAUCUUAAUAGCAUGCAAAGUUUUCAGAGACACAGUUGACUAAACUC